UGUAAGUUUCCCCUGAUAGAUGGUACGUGGGAAGAUUUUGAGACAAGAAGAAUCUUCCAGGUUGGGUGAGAAGUGAUGGGAAAAGGAAGGAGAAGAAAACAAAUAUUCGUGAGCAUCUGUUAAGGGCGGGCACUGUGCUAGGAACUGCUUCUUUAAUCAGUCUGUACUGGCCCUCAUGACAAGCCUAUGAAUUAGGAAGGAACUGUCCUUAUUUGUCCCUAGUUACAUGAAAACAAUGGCAGUAUCAAAAGGAGCUAAUGCUCAGUGCUGUCCUGAACACCGCCUGGGUUUUCUUAGUGCAUCCUCCCACCCCUAAUGAGGUCAAUGUCAUUAUCUCGUUUCCGGAUGAGGAGUGUGAGGUUCCGAAGUGUCAGCAUAGUGGCCAGGAUCAUAGACUUGAGAGCCAGCCUGCUGGACUGUCCCCUCCCUUACAAGCUUACCCUUUCUGGACUGAGCUUCCUCAUCUGGAAAUGGGGAUAAUAGAAGCACUUGCCUUCUAGGGGGUGUGGUGAGGAUUAAACGAGCUUCGCACCCCUUUGCUGGUCCCUACCUCAAGAGCGGAGCCAAGUGAUGGCUGUGGAAAGGGUUUGGUCUGUGCAAAUCAUUUCCUCCUGCUAGACUUCCAGUCCCUCAUCUGAACCACGGCUGCCACGGACUCUACGCUCUUCUGCUUCUAACCCUCCAUGAUGCUGACCUCAGCUUCGGAACCUGGAAACAUGGCCAAGGGAAUGGAGGGAACAUGGGGUUGGACUGGAUGCAUGUGUCAGGUUUUGAAUUAAGGACUGUUGAGGUGGAACGGAGAGAAUGAGCAAAAGUAGAGGGGUUUAAAAGUGCAUGAGGUUUAUUCAUUCAUUCAACAAAUGUGGUUUGAGCUGCUGCUUUGUGGGCCCUUUUCUUAGUUGCUCUGGAUACAGGGGUGUAUAAUCCACGAAGAUAAGGAUGGUGCCUGUGGUGAGGGUUGCAGAGAGAAAAGCAGUGGGAGAGAGGGAGCCAAGAGGCAGAAGGGCAGGGAGGCUCCCCUCUCCCUGGGAGGAGAGACGUCCAGACCUGCCAUCCACCUGAGGGAAGAGACUGUUUUCAGGUGUAGAGGUUUCAAGAUGGUGGCCCAUGGAUGAAAUUCCAGCAUAGGUCUGUUUUGUUUGUCCCCAUAAAGUGUGUUAAAAUUAUAAUAAGCUUUUAGCUAUAAAAAUAGAAAGCUUUUAUAUAGAAACCUAGAAUUCUGCUCUUACAGACCCACUAGCCCAGGCAGUACUUCCAUGUAACAACGAUUGGCUGAGGCUGGGUUGAGGUUGCCCCUUGAGGGAGUGAGCUCCUCAGCUCCUCAGUCUCCACCAUUCCCUAUUGUGGCCCCAGCCUGCAAGCCCCACUUAUUUAUUUUACCUUCCCGACUUUACUGACAUCUGCGUUUGUGACUGCUGGUCUGGUUUGUGCUAUAAAAGGCUGACCAGCCUGGUGGUUGGAUCCGUUCUGGGCCAGGUGGACGGAGGCCCGCCACAGGAACCCACACCCUGGGAGCCACUUUGUGCUUCUGACCACCGCAAACACUGUCUGCGGUGAGGUUGACAAGUUGGGAAUCAGCCCUCCAGGCCCAAAGGCUUCUCCUUGGCAGAAGCAGAAGCCAAUUCAAAUUGUUUUUCUUUUUUUCUUUGCUCAUCUGAAAAGUCCUCCAAGAUCCUCCUUCUUAUUAACAACCUGCACACCAUGCUGUGCUUAAAGUUCAGAGCGCCAUAGGCUAUGGAGCCAUAAUUAAUCUCAGUCCCUGAGUUCUAGAACACUUAGAGCAGUUAUAAUUUGCUGUUGGAAAACCAAUUUGGGGAAGCAGUGGUGUUCUCACCCUUGAUCAUGGCUCCACUGAAUGCCACUUCCUGUCCACGUGCUGCCUGCUGGGAGAGCAAGACCUUUCCUCUCUGCACCUCUGGGAGGUGACACAGAGUGUAGAAGGUGGGAGGACAGAAGAGGGAGUUGGUGAGCUACCCGUGGGGACAUGGGCUUCCAGGACCACUGCCGGCACUGCCUCUGAGCUGGUUUGGUCACCCUGCAUCAGGUGCCUCUUAUUUUCCAAUUUAGUCCAAUUUUACAACCCCCGUCCACAUACCUUCCAUGUCUUAGGCACUGUCUGGUUGGGGCAGAUGCCAAGUCGUGUUCUCUCUCUUCUGCCCUCACCACUUUCCUGGCCUGUCCCUGCUGCCCUGGGCCACACUCAAGAUUUCUGCUCCACGCAUGGAAGUUCUCUUUUUUCUCCUCAUUUCUUUUUUUUGCUCAAGGCCAGAUUGUCAUAUCAUUGAAAUCACUCACAGUUGAAAUCAGUCACAGCAGACAAGGGUAAAACGUCACGGCUCCAGUGAAAUGCACACACUGACAUAGGGUAGGGUCACACACUGCCGGCUACCACUGUGUGUGUUUAUAGGUUUGUCUGUCCUGCUGCCUGUGCCAUCUGCAGCCAGGAGCCGUGUCCCAUUUGUCCACUGGCCCCAGAACCUGGCGAGAGGCACCACACAGAGCAGGCAGGUAGUAAGUGUCCACAGGGGUGGUUAGCUUAACAGCAAUAUAGACACACUAGAGAGUGUGAAAAUAGAAAUACUUAUAGGGAAAUAAGCCAAUAAUGGCCUGCCUUCAUUCAUUAAUUAUUUAUUAUUCACUCAUUCAACCAGUCCUCACAGGCACUGGGACCUGUGCUCAGUCUUGGGGAUAUUGAAAUGAAAAUAUCUUUGUUUCUGACUCCAGCUUAAAGGUAUCCUAAGUGAGAGGCUCAUUUAGGGCAUUCUGGGGGUGCAUAGGAGGGACCCCUGACUGGUGUAGGAAAGCAUUCUGGAGGAGGUGAUAUUUGAGCAAGCCCUGGAUUAUUCUGUGCUUAUCUCCAGCACCUCACUUAAAAGUUGCUCUAGGUUUGUCCACUUAUGUGUUUGUGUCUCCAGAGAGGCUGAGGGCCCCUUUAGAGAAGGGACCCUGUCCUAGUUACCCUUGAAUUCUCAUCACCUAGAACAGUGCCUGGGCCAUGGGAUAAGGUUUGGUGCAUACUCGUGGGAUGAAUGAAUGAAAGAGCAUUUUCCAGGUAAGGAGGGUGGAACAGGGAUUCCAGGCAGAAGGACAGCCCAGAUGGGUGGAAGGAUAGUGCUGGGAGGUUACUACCAAGCUAGGAGCCCAGAGAGCAGGGUUGAGAGGGAAGGCAGAGGGCACUGGGAGAGUAGAGGGGCAUAGACACAAAGAACAGCUUCCUGCGCUUAGACUUGGGCCACAAACUGAUGCCUCCAGGAGCAGGGCAGACAAUAGAAAUGCAUGAAGGAGGCAGGAGUAAGACCCUGAAGACUGGCGGGGUUCACGGAGAACUGAAUAGUGUGCCUCACCAACAGCAUUGGAAUGCAACAUUAAAGAAAAUGCUGUUAGCCAAACGAAACAUUCAGGCCCUUGGGUCACAAGUUUGCAACUUCCUACCCCCACUGCCAGGUACUAUACAGAAGGUUGUGUGGAAUUGUGGGAAAAGUCCUGCCUUGGAUUUCUGGAGAAGUGGGAGCAAAUCCCAGCUUGGCCCCUUGCUGGCUGUGAGGCUUUGUCCAAGCCUCUUCCCCUCUCUGCCCCUCGCUUUGCUCAUCUGCUAGCUUACCCACCCUGCCCACCUGUCAGGCCGAAUGAGAUGAUGGACACGCAGUGCUCUGUAGUUACUAAAGCCCCGGCACGUGCAGAGGCUUUCGUUCUAAGCAUGAUGCGAGGGGAUGUCUAGGUUCCUUGUGGAAAGAGGGGGACUGUAGUGGGAGCCUUACAGGUGGUCUGAAACCUCUCAUGGAAGGUGGGUUCUGUGAGAGCAGGACAUGCCCCUGCUUAGAGUGGAGAAGGGAAGUUCAUGCAGCUGGAGGGACCAGGGUGCAGAUAGUGGCUGGGGUGGCCAGAGAGGAGAUUCUGGAAGAGUCAGAGUUGCUAAGAGAGGAUGGAAGUAGGGAGGUGGACACUCAGUCGGGGAGGUGGCCUGAAGCUUCCCGGCUUGAUUACCUGGGACCUGGCCAGAGUAAGAAGAGUAUCUAAAACAAGGCCCGGCAGAGGGUGGCUGGGGUGAGGAUGUCCAUGGGCCUGGGACAAAGGGUUGGGUUGGAAUUCUCAGCAACACCUCAGCACGGCACACAGCCAGACACAGAGAUUCUGUCACCCACUGGGAUCUGGACCCAGGGCCCCUUCCCCAUCUGGGUGACUGUCUGGUCCUCUCUGGGGCCUUGGGGAACACUCAGUGUGGCCCAAGACUGUCUGUGGACACUGUUAAGUGAGCAUCAUUAGGAGGAGGUUUCCCUGCCUCAAGGAGAGCCAAGGAUCCUGGGAGGCAUCUGUGCUGAGAGGGCCCUGCAGCCGUUUCCAGGCCUCUCAUUUUGCCGGUCCAGAGGGAGUAAGGGACUUGCCCAGGGUCUUCCGUCUCCUUGUCUUUGGAAUCUUGCAGGCCUUGGUUGUGCUGGAAUUCUCCCUUUAAUUCUGAAGCGUCAGGAAUAGAAGAUUCAGAGCAUCUCAGGGCUGAAGGGACCUUAAAGUUGAUGAAGUCCACCUGUGGUUCCCCCCCACUCCCACCUGCAGAUCUGCUUCCCCUCGUCUCUGUGGCGUAGGACUCCCUGCUGCCAGGCCCCACCAAGCCUGAGGUGUCCUCACUAGCUACAGAGAUUUGGGAGGGCAGAGCAAGCCCCAGGUCCCAGGGUCAUCACAGCGCGCUCACUGGAGACUCAGCCUCGUGCCCUGCCCACUACUGCACCCCAGCACCUGUGGUGGUGCCAGCACAUGGUGGGUGCUCCACAAAUCCUGCUG
ensembl:lncRNA